ACCCUUUCCCCGUUGAAGCCGUCAUAUGACGGCCACUCUAGUGGUCAUUUUCAAAAAUUCGUUGUGCCCACUGUGUUGGAGCUAUGCACACGCUGUAGGUACCAGCACAUGCGCAUUGAGCUGCUCUUUCACAUGGUAUCUUUAAUAUGCUGCCUCGAGGUACGCUUUGUACAGUAAUGUCGAAAGAAAAGUGACCGUUUGAUAAUGUUUCAAGAUCUUUGUAGUACAAUCUCAGUGAGGUUCUAAAGUAGCUAGACAGUGAGAAUAUCGAUGCUUAUGGCCUUGUUGAGUGAGAGGACUGUGACUGGGAUAGUAGCUAGAUAAAAAGCUACCUCAAGCUAGAAAAUAUAGAGCCUGGAAGGCCUGAGGAAGAAGCUCUUGCGAUGGAACAACUUCUUGGAUCUGGUGAAGAAAACAUUUCCCGGGAAAAGGGCGUCUGCUGAUACGACCUCGCAGAAAACUUUCUGCAGAUCCUGAUUGAACCAUGUCACCGUGAGAACAUUGAGAACACUUAUUUAGUGUCUUUAGCCACUCUGUGCCUUCAUACAAUAUUAUUUGUGUACAUAGUUGUGAAUGUUUGUAAACAAUUGCUAAUUAGUGGGGGUGGUCAGUUGCUAGGUAACGAAGAUGUUGUCAAGAUAUCUCUGAGGUCUGCGCUACCUGUAGGAAAUAGUUACAAGUCAUUUCAAUGUAUGGUUCAUGACAUACAAAUUUUUAAAGAAAAUUGUUAUUUAUUCUG